rnacentral:rRNA from 1 species
AUUAAACGCUGGCGGCAUGCCUUACACAUGCAAGUCGAACGGCAGCACGGGGGCAACCCUGGUGGCGAGUGGCGAACGGGUGAGUAAAGCAUCGGAACGUGCCCUGGAGUGGGGGAUAACGUAGCGAAAGUUACGCUAAUACCGCAUAUUCUGUGAGCAGGAAAGCAGGGGAUCGCAAGACCUUGCGCUCUGGGAGCGGCCGAUGUCGGAUUAGCUAGUUGGUGGGGUAAAAGGCCUACCAAGGCGACGAUCCGUAGCGGGUCUGAGAGGAUGAUCCGCCACACUGGGACUGAGACACGGCCCAGACUCCUACGGGAGGCAGCAGUGGGGAAUUUUGGACAAUGGGCGAAAGCCUGAUCCAGCCAUGCCGCGUGAGUGAAGAAGGCCU